UACAGAGGUCCCGAGCGUUGUUCGGAUUCACUGGGCGUAAAGGGUGCGUAGGUGGCCAGGCAAGUUCGGUGUGAAAGCUCGGAGCUUAACUCCGAAAUGUCAUUGAAUACUAUCUGGCUAGAGGGUCGGAGGGGAGACUGGAAUUCUCGGUGUAGCAGUGAAAUGCGUAGAUAUCGAGAGGAACACCAGUGGCAAAGGCGAGUCUCUGGACGACUCCUGACACUGAGGCACGAAAGCUAGGGGAGCAAACAGG
rnacentral:rRNA from 1 species